CACGUAGGGUGCGAGCGUUGUCCGGAAUUAUUGGGCGUAAAGCGCGUGUAGGCGGCUUUGCAAGUCGGAUGUGAAAGCCCACGGCUCAACCGUGGAAGUGCAUCCGAAACUGCAUGGCUGGAGUCUCGGAGAGGAAGGUGGAAUGCUUGGUGUAGAGGUGAAAUUCGUAGAUAUCAAGCAGAACACCUGCGGCGAAGGCGGCCUUCUGGACGAUGACUGACGCUGAGACGCGAAAGCGUGGGGAGCAAACAGG
rnacentral:rRNA from 1 species